rnacentral:misc_RNA from 1 species
GAUUCUCUAAGAGAACAUUUGAAGUGAUGAUUAACAAGUAUAAGAGUUUAGUAAAGAAAUUUAUAUUCUAAGUUUAAUCACAAGUAAGGACUCUAAACAAUUAACUCAUUUAUCAGGUUACACUAAUUCCAUCAGAAACGUAAAACUUUAUUGAUCACAAUUUGUUCACAUAGAACUCUCCCUUUUCAUUUGAGAGUUCAGAUGCAUUAGAGUUGGAACCAAAAUAUGCAGUUUACAGUGGUCCUGGAAAGGUGCCAUUCUCCCUCUGCUCAUUCCAUCUAUCAAUCCAUUCACCGGGGCAAAGGGAUCGAUAAUACUUGGCGAACUUGUCACAUUCAGGAGCACCUUCACCCUUUGCAGCUAUGCAUCGGUGGUAUUCAACAUAUCUAGUGAAGCAGUGCCUUGUUUGAUUUGUAGUAGGGAAGCGGAAGUCAGCAGGCGCAGUCUCAAGCUUAAUCUCAGGGGUCUCAUCAGCGGAUUCAUGAUUUUCACUCUCAGCCUCUACAGGAGGAGAAGCUUCAUUAAUUUCCGGUGUCGUUGAGUCAGAGGCUCCACUGCUUUCUUCAGAUGUGGCAGGCACAGCUUCACUACUCUCAACUACUGGGGUUUCCUCAGUUUUUGGAGUAUCUUCCUCAGAUGGAGCAGUUGAAGAGGCCUUAACCUCAGUUUCUUCCACUGGAUUAGCCACUGUGGUGGAUUUCUCUUCUUUCUCUUUCAGUAAAUAUUGCUCAGAUAAAGAUGGAGAUUUUGAGUUGUCUACUUCGGCCAUUAACGAAGGAAAAUAGCUGAUGGCCUUAAGCUUAUUCGUAGAAAGUUAGGAGUAAAAGUGAGUGUGUCAUUAGAACAAUCAUUCAAAGUUGAUUGCAAUUUUCUGUUGGAG